rnacentral:rRNA from 1 species
AACCGGAUUAGAUACCCUGGUAGUCCACGCCCUAAACGAUGUCAACUAGUUGUCGGGUCUUAACGGACUUGGUAACGCAGCUAACGCGUGAAGUUGACCGCCUGGGGAGUACGGUCGCAAGAUUAAAACUCAAAGGAAUUGACGGGGACCCGCACAAGCGGUGGAUUAUGUGGAUUAAUUCGAUGCAACGCGAAAAACCUUACCUACCCUUGACAUGUACCGAAGCCCGCUGAGAGGUGGGCGUGCCCGAAAGGGAGCGGUAACACAGGUGCUGCAUGGCUGUCGUCAGCUCGUGUCGUGAGAUGUUGGGUUAAGUCCCGCAACGAGCGCAACCCUUGUCAUUAAUUGCCAUCAUUCAGUUGGGCACUUUAAUGAGACUGCCGGUGACAAACCGGAGGAAGGUGGGGAUGACGUCAAGUCCUCAUGGCCCUUAUGGGUAGGGCUUCACACGUAAUACAAUGGCGCGUACAGAGGGUUGCCAACCCGCGAGGGGGAGCUAAUCUCAGAAAGCGCGUCGUAGUCCGGAUCGGAGUCUGCAACUCGACUCCGUGAAGU